UACGGAGGAUGCGAGCGUUAUCCGGAUUUACUGGGCGUAAAGGGUGCGUAGGUGGUUUCUUAAGUCAGAGGUGAAAGGCUACGGCUCAACCGUAGUAAGCUUUUGGAACUGUAAGACUUGAGUGCAGGAGAGGAGAGUGGAAUUCCUAGUGUAGCGGUGAAAUGCGUAGAUAUUAGGAGGAACACCGGUAGCGAAGGCGGCUCUCUGGACUGUAACUGACGCUGAGGCACGAAAGCGUGGGGAGCAAACAGGAUUAGAUACCCGGGUAGUCCCUGAG
rnacentral:rRNA from 1 species